UUUGCACUAUGGUUCAGGUUACAGAUUUGAAGAAUUCACCUGGCCCGGGGAAGAAAGAACUCCGGCAAGCUACCAAACAGGCGCUUUCCCUUCUUCAAGAUAAUUACCCUGAAUUUGUUGCUAAACAGGUUUGUUGGUUACUUGUUAGUUAAGGAUUAAUGGAUGGAUGGAUGGAUGGAUGAUUAAUGGAUUGCAUCUAUCUUUGUUACUUACUGUGUAGAUCUUCAUCAAUGUUCCAUGGUGGUACCUUGCAUUCAACAAGAUGAUUGCACCCUUGUUUACACAAAGAACAAAGAGCAAGUUUGUCUU
rnacentral:lncRNA from 1 species